AUUGAACGCUGGCGGCAGGCCUAACACAUGCAAGUCGAGCGGAUGACGGGAGCUUGCUCCUUGAUUCAGCGGCGGACGGGUGAGUAAUGCCUAGGAAUCUGCCUGGUGGUGGGGGACAACGUUCCGAAAGGGGCGCUAAUACCGCAUACGUCCUACGGGAGAAAGUGGGGGAUCUUCGGACCUCACGCUAUCAGAUGAGCCUAGGUCGGAUUAGCUAGUUGGUGAGGUAAAGGCUCACCAAGGGCACGAUCCGUGACUGGUCUGUGAGGAUGAUCAGUCAAACUGGAACUGAGACACGGUCCAGACUCCUACGGGAGUCAGCAGUGGGGAAUAUUGGACAAUGGGCGAAAGCCUGAUCCAGCCAUGCCGCGUGUGUGAAGAAGGUCUUCGGAUUGUAAAGCACUUUAAGUUGGGAGGAAGGGCAGUAAGUUAAUACCUUGCUGUUUUGACGUUACCGACAGAAUAAGCACCGGCUAACUCUGUGCCAGCAGCCGCUGUAACAC
rnacentral:rRNA from 1 species